rnacentral:rRNA from 1 species
AAUUACGCUGGCGGCAGGCCUAACACAUGCAAGUCGAGCGGUAACACAAGGGAGCUUGCUCCUGAGGUGACGAGCGGCGGACGGGUGAGUAAUGCCUAGGGAUCUGCCCAGUCGAGGGGGAUAACAGUUGGAAACGACUGCUAAUACCGCAUACGCCCUACGGGGGAAAGGAGGGGACCUUCGGGCCUUCCGCGAUUGGAUGAACCUAGGUGGGAUUAGCUAGUUGGUGAGGUAAUGGCUCACCAAGGCGACGAUCCCUAGCUGUUCUGAGAGGAUGAUCAGCCACACUGGGACUGAGACACGGCCCAGACUCCUACGGGAGGCAGCAGUGGGGAAUAUUGCACAAUGGGGGAAACCCUGAUGCAGCCAUGCCGCGUGUGUGAAGAAGGCCUUCGGGUUGUAAAGCACUUUCAGUAGGGAGGAAAGGUAAUAGUUUAAUAAACUAUUACUGUGACGUUACCUACAGAAGAAGGACCGGCUAACUCCGUGCCAGCAGCCGCGGUAAUACGG